rnacentral:piRNA from 1 species
CACAGAGGUGCUGUAAGUGGUUGUGC